AAUAGGAUGUGAUUCCCACUCAUAGUAGGGAGCCUUAAAUGCUGCUACUCGUGCCCUUUAUUGAGUAUAUUGUAACCAUAGUUAGUUAGCAUAGUUGGUUAUUUUGUUAAUUGGUUAAGGCUUAUGGUUAAAACUAUGACACUCUCUAUAAAAGCCUGACCUCUUAGUACAUUACAUUCAUUCAUUCAAUACACAGUUUCUGGUAUCUUCUUCUUCUUUCGCUUUUCCCUUCAACCUAUUCAUG
rnacentral:lncRNA from 1 species